AAAAACGUGAUGAAAAUUUAGAGGAAAAAAAAUCCUUCAAAAAUACAGCUCCGUUUUU
rnacentral:misc_RNA from 1 species